rnacentral:ncRNA from 1 species
AUAAAUUCGUUGAUGGAAAGAGUAAGUUUUUUGGCAUUUCUAAGAGAGCGGUCGUUUGGUGAAAGAGCGCAAUGUCCAUUUAUACUGAAAGUAGUUCCGGAGAUGCGCAGGCGACAGAGUGAAGUUUGCGACGGAGACCCACGUUACAGGGUUGCGCGUUUCAUAUCAUAGUUGAGACGCUACAGAGAUUACUCAAAUCAUUGUUCACGAGUAAAAAACGGUGGUACCGCGAAUGACACUUUCGCCCGUUGG